ensembl:snRNA U2 U2 spliceosomal RNA
AUCGCUUCUCGGCCUUUUGGCUAAGAUCAAGUGUAGUAUCUGUUCUUAUCAGUUAAUAUCUGAUAUGUCCUUUAUCCGAGGACAAUAUAUUAAAUGGAGUUUUGGAGCAGGGACAUGGACUAGGAGCUUGCUCUGUCCACUGCAUGCAUCAACUUGGUAUUGCUGUACCCCUAGGAAUGGCGCACCCCUC